UAUAACAGGAAAAGGGUAAUACCAACAGGGAAACCCAUACUCUUUGGCGGCCUUUAUUCUAAUCAAAGGAACUUGUUAAAUAAUCGAAACCACCCGCUCAAUCUCACUUUCCAUAAAGCCUUUAUACCGUCGUCUUAAGAGUCCAUUUUCAUAUUAUUCUCAAAAAGGUAACCCCCACCAAGUCAGAUCAAGGUGAAGCAUAUAGGAAAGUUUCAAUGAGUUAUACAUAAAAAAUAUUUAAAGAUUCUCUAACAAAAGAAAGAUAAAUUAAGAUUUGAAAGUACCUCAAGAUUAAAAUUCCUGAAGAAAAAAGUAAAUAAAGAUGU
rnacentral:rRNA from 1 species